GUUAUUCACAAGUGGCUCCAGUCUGGUUUGGGGGUCUACGCUUUCUCAUCCUGUCCUGCCACCCAAGUGAAGUUAUUCACAAGUGGCUCCAGUUUGGUUUGGGGGUCUACGCUUUCUCAUCCUGUCCUGCCACCUAAGUGAAGUUAUUCACAAGUGGCUCCAGUCUGGUUUGGGGGUCUACGCUUUCUCAUCCUGUCCUGCCACCCAAGUGAAGUUAUUCACAAGUGGCUCCAGUCUGGUUUGGGGGUCUACGCUUUCUCAUCCUGUCCUGAGUGAUUCUUGACAUUGAAAUUAUAUCAAAAUUUGUCAAUAAAUGUUCAUACUUUUGUCAUUAA